UACGGAGGGUGCAAGCGUUAUCCGGAUUCACUGGGUUUAAAGGGUGCGUAGGUGGGUCUGUAAGUCCGUGGUGAAAUCUCCGAGCUUAACUUGGAAACUGCCAUGGAUACUAUAGGUCUUGAAUACUGUGGAGGUCAGCGGAAUAUGUCAUGUAGCGGUGAAAUGCUUAGAUAUGACAUAGAACACCAAUUGCGAAGGCAGCUGGCUACACAAAUAUUGACACUGAGGCACGAAAGCGUGGGGAUCAAACAGG
rnacentral:rRNA from 3 species